GCCUGGCUAGCUCAAUCGGUAGAGCGUGAGACUCUUAUUAAAUCUCAAGGCUGUGGGUUCAAGCCCCACGUCGGGCU
rnacentral:tRNA from 3 species